rnacentral:rRNA from 1 species
CUCGUAGGCGGCCAACUAAGUCAUACGUGAAAUCCCUCAGCUUAACUGGGGAACUGCGUGUGAUACUGGAUGGCUUGGAUUUGGGAGAGGGAUGCGGAAUUCCAGGUGUAGCGGUGAAAUGCGUAGAUAUCUGGAGGAACACCGGUGGCGAAGGCGGCAUCCUGGACCAAUAUUGACGCUGAGGAGCGAAAGCCAGGGGAGCAAAACG